UAUACGACCGUACCGCAAACCGACACUGGUGCGCGAGAUGAGUAUUCUAAGGCGCUUGAGAGAACUCAGGAGAAGGAACUCGGCAAAUUGACACCGUAACUUCGGAAGAAGGUGUGCCCUAUUAGUGUGUAGUGAACAACGAAGCAUGAAUGGGUUGCAAAAAAUCGGUGGCUGCGACUGUUUAUUAAAAACACAGCACUCUGCAAACACGAAAGUGGACGUAUAGGGUGUGACGCCUGCCCGGUGCUGGAAGAUUAAAUGAUGGGGUGCAAGCUCUUGAUUGAAGUCCCAGUAAACGGCGGCCGUAACAAUAACGGUCCUAAGGUAGCGAAAUUCCUUGUCGGGUAAGUUCCGACCUGCACGAAUGGCGUAACGAUGGCCACACUGUCUCCUCCUGAGACUCAGCGAAGUUGAAAUGUUUGUGAUGAUGCAAUCUCCCCGCGGAAAGACGGAAAGACCCCAUGAACCUUUACUGUAGCUUUGUAUUGGACUUUGAACAGAUCUGUGCAUAGGUGGGAGGCUUUGAAGCAGGGUCGCUAGAUCUUGUGGAGCCAACGUUGAAAUACCACCCUGGUGUGUUUGAGGUUCUAACCUAGGUCCAUUAUCUGGAUCGGGGACAGUGCAUGGUAGGCAGUUUGACUGGGGCGGUCUCCUCCCAAAGCGUAACGGAGGAGUUCGAAGGUACGCUAGUUACGGUCGGACAUCGUGACGAUAGUGCAAUGGCAUAAGCGUGCUUAACUGCGAGACUGACAAGUCGAGCAGAUGCGAAAGCAGGACAUAGUGAUCCGGUGGUUCUGUAUGGAAGGGCCAUCGCUCAACGGAUAAAAGGUACUCUGGGGAUAACAGGCUGAUACCGCCCAAGAGUUCAUAUCGACGGCGGUGUUUGGCACCUCGAUGUCGGCUCAUCUCAUCCUGGGGCUGUAGCCGGUCCCAAGGGUAUGGCUGUUCGCCAUUUAAAGAGGUACGUGAGCUGGGUUUAAAACGUCGUGAGACAGUUUGGUCCCUAUCUUCCGUGGGCGCUGCAGAUUUGAGGAAGCCUGCUCCUAGUACGAGAGGACCGGAGUGGACACACCUCUGGUGUAUCGGUUGUCACGCCAGUGGCAUUGCCGAGUAGCUAAGUGUGGAAGAGAUAACCGCUGAAAGCAUCUAAGCGGGAAACUCGUUUCAAGAUGAGAUCUGCCGGGGCCUUGAGCCCCCUAAAGAGUCGUUCAAGACCAGGACGUUGAUAGGUCAGGUGUGGAA
rnacentral:rRNA from 1 species